GUCCCCGUAGCUUAAAAAUGCUAAAGCGUGGCACUGAAGAUGCCAAGAUGGCUGCCGCACGCACCCAGGGACA
rnacentral:tRNA from 1 species